rnacentral:rRNA from 1 species
GACGAACGCUGGCGGCGCGCCUAACACAUGCAAGUCGAACGAGCAAAGAGGAGCUUGCUUCUCUGAGCGAGUGGCGAACGGGUGAGUAACGCGUGAGGAACCUGCCUCAAAGAGGGGGGCAACAGUUGGAAACGACUGCUAAUACCGCAUAAGCCCACGGGUCGGCAUCGACCAGAGGGAAAAGGAGCAAUCCGCUUUGAGAUGGCCUCGCGUCCGAUUAGCUGGUUGGUGAGGUAACGGCCCACCAAGGCGACGAUCGGUAGCCGGACUGAGAGGUUGAACGGCCACAUUGGGACUGAGACACGGCCCAGACUCCUACGGGAGGCAGCAGUGGGGAAUAUUGCACAAUGGGGGAAACCCUGAUGCAGCGACGCCGCGUGGAGGAAGAAGGUCUUCGGAUUGUAAACUCCUGUUGUUGAGGAAGAUAAUGACGGUACUCAACAAGGAAGUGACGGCUAACUACGUG